rnacentral:rRNA from 1 species
GAUGAACGCUAGCGGCAGGCCUAAUACAUGCAAGUCGGACGGGAUCCAUCGGUAGCUUGCUAUCCAUGGUGAGAGUGGCGCACGGGUGCGUAACGCGUGAGCAACCUGCCUCCAUCAGGGGGAUAGCCUCUCGAAAGAGAGAUUAACACCGCAUAACAUAUCAGACCGGCAUCGGUCGGAUAUCAAAUAUUUAUAGGAUGGAGAUGGGCUCGCGUGACAUUAGCUUGUUGGUGGGGUAACGGCCCACCAAGGCGACGAUGUCUAGGGGCUCUGAGAGGAGAAUCCCCCACACUGGUACUGGGACACGGACCAGACUCCUACGGGAGGCAGCAGUAAGGAAUAUUGGUCAAUGGGCGGAAGCCUGAACCAGCCAUGCCGCGUGCAGGAUGACUGCCCUAUGGGUUGUAAACUGCUUUUGUCCGGGAAUAAACCUCCUUACGUGUAGGGAGCUGAAUGUACCGGAAGAAUAAGGAUCGGCUAACUCCGUG